rfam:Dipodomys ordii contig_4811, whole genome shotgun sequence.
GGGAAUGUGACUUAGUGGUAGAGUACUUGCCUAUCAUGCAUGAAGCCCUAGGUUUGAUUCCUUAGUACCA